rnacentral:rRNA from 1 species
CGUAGUACCGGAGGAAGGUGGGGAUGACGUCAAGUCCUCAUGGCCUUAUGCCCAGGGCUACACACGUGCUACAAUGGCCGGUACAAAGGGCUGCAAUACCGCAAGGUGGAGCGAACCCCAAAAAGCCGGUCUCAGUUCGGAUUGGAGUCUGCAACUCGACUCCAUGAAGUUGGAAUCGCUAGUAAUCGCGGAUCAGCAUGCCGCGGUGAAUACGUUCCCGGGCCUU